rnacentral:lncRNA from 10 species
CAAAACUCUACGGUUGGGGACCCUUUCCUGCCCCUGCCUCUCGGGGUUCCUGCCAGGUUGGAUGACAUUUUUACAAUGUUCUCUGAACACUUUCAAAAAAGUGUAGGCUGGGCCUGGUGUCGCAUGCCUGUAGUCCCAGCUACUCAGGAGGCUGAGGCAGGAGAAUCACUUGAACCCGGGAGGUGGAGGUUUCAGUGAGCCGAGAUCACACCACUGCACUCCAGCCUGGGUGACAGAGCCAGACCCUGUCUUAAAAAAGAAAGAAAAGAAAAAGGGAAAAGAUGCCGUGUAAAAUCUCGUUCUGUGUCUGAAUUGCCGUAGGGCUCAGAUCUUCAUUUGAGGUUAUGUUCUAUAAGUUAACGUUGAUCUUGUGUGAGCUUUCGGUAGCUGGAGUAACACAGGCGGCCUCACAGCGACCUCUCCAGCG